rnacentral:rRNA from 1 species
ACUUAUAUUCUGUAGCAAGGUUAACCGAAUAGGGGAGCCGGAGGGAAACCGAGUCUUAAUUGGGCGUUAAGUUGCAGGGUAUAGACCCGAAACCCGGUGAUCUAGCCAUGGGCAGGUUGAAGGUUGGGUAACACUAACUGGAGGACCGAACCGACUAAUGUUGAAAAAUUAGCGGAUGACCUGUGGCUGGGGGUGAAAGGCCAAUCAAACCGGGAGAUAGCUGGUUCUCCCCGAAAGCUAUUUAGGUAGCGCCUCGUGAAUUCAUCUCCGGGGGUAGAGCACUGUUUCGGCUAGGGGGCCAUCCCGGCUUACCAACCCGAUGCAAACUGCGAAUACCGGAGAAUGUUAUCACGGGAGACACACGGCGGGUGCUAACGUCCGUCGUGAAGAGGGAAACAACCCAGACCGCCAGCUAAGGUCCCAAAGUCAUGGUUAAGUGGGAAACGAUGUGGGAAGGCCCAGACAGCCAGGAUGUUGGCUUAGAAGCAGCCAUCAUUUAAAGAAAGCGUAAUAGCUCACUGGUCGAGUCGGCCUGCGCGGAAGAUGUAACGGGGCUAAACCAUGCACCGAAGCUGCGGCAGCGAACGUAUCACCCAAGACAACUUUACGGAGUUGACGAUUGACGGAGCGAAGCGACGUCAAAGCGUUCAUUAAAGUCGAGUUGGCUUAGGGAUACGUUCGUUGGGUAGGGGAGCGUUCUGUAAGCCUGUGAAGGUGUGUCGUGAGGC